rnacentral:rRNA from 1 species
AGCGGCGGACGGGUGAGUAACGCGUGGGUAACCUGCCCUAUACACACGGAUAACAUACCGAAAGGUAUGCUAAUACGAGAUAAUAUAAGAGAUUCACAUGGAUUUCUUAUCAAAGCUGAGGCGGUAUAGGAUGGACCCGCGUCUGAUUAGCUAGUUGGUAAGGUAACGGCUUACCAAGGCGACGAUCAGUAGCCGACCUGAGAGGGUGAUCGGCCACAUUGGAACUGAGACACGGUCCAAACUCCUACGGGAGGCAGCAGUGGGGAAUAUUGCACAAUGGGCGAAAGCCUGAUGCAGCAACGCCGCGUGAGUGAUGAAGGCCUUCGGGUCGUAAAACUCUGUCCUCAAGGAAGAUAAUGACGGUACUCGAGGAGGAAGCCCCUGCUAACUACGUGCCAGCAGCCGCGGUAAUACGUAGGGGGCUAGCGUUAUCCGGAUUUACUGGGCGUAAAGGGUGCGUAGGUGGUCUCUUAAGUCAGGAGUGAAAGGCUACGGCUUAACCGUAGUAAGCUCUUGAAACUGGGAGACUUGAGUGCAGGAGAGGAAAGUGGAAUUCCUAGUGUAGCGGUGAAAUGCGUAGAUAUUAGGAGGGACACCAGUAGCGAAGGCGGCUUUCUGGACUGUAACUGACACUGAGGCACGAAAGCGUGGGGAGCAAACAGGAUUAGAUACCCUGGUAGUCCACGCCGUAAACGAUGAGUACUAGGUGU